ensembl:lncRNA
CUGGAGAGGCGAUCAACAUUUGGAAGAGUGGAGCUAUCCAACUCUUCGUCAACAGUUACGGUGACCGACGAAGCAACCCAGAGUGGACUUCCUUCCUUCGACUGGACUCCACAAGGAACUGGAGCUUUGGUACCAGCAGCGGCCCCUUGCGCCCAUCUGCCUCCUCGAGGAGUGCAGACGAAUUUGGAGGGGGCCACACGUCAAAGAAGUGAGGACUUAAAUCCUACAGUUGCAAGGAACUGAAUUCUGCCAAGAAUAAGCUUGGAAAAUGACUCUUCCCCAGGGCCUCCAAUGAGAAUUCAGCUGGGCCAUAACCCUGAUUGCAUCCUUGUGGUAACUUCAGCAGAGCCCUGUCCAGCCAUGCUGGGCCUCCAUACAGAACUGAGAAAAGGCUGCUGCUUGUGGUGAUGAUCAAUGGGGGACCGAUGUACAUGGACAUUUAUAUUGUUGGACUUGCACCUUUUACUUAUGCUUGUGCUUGAAUUAAAUCCGUUAUAACCAAAGAAGGGAUUUGAACAUGGAGUAAAGUUGGCUUGACUGCCUGUAUCCUGACCCCAUCAAGCAUGGAAUCACUACUAACAAAAUACGUGAAACAUGAUCAAAAACCCUGGAGGCUUAAGACAGCAACUCCAUUGACUCCAACAGGCACUUCAACAGAUUUUAACAGAUGUGAGA